rnacentral:rRNA from 1 species
GACGAACGCUGGCGGCGUGCUUAACACAUGCAAGUCGAACGGCAAGGCCCUGCUUUUGUGGGGUGCUCGAGUGGCGAACGGGUGAGUAACACGUGAGUAACCUGCCCUUGUCUUUGGGAUAACUUCAGGAAACUGGGGCUAAUACCGGAUAGGAGCUCCUGCUGCAUGGUGGGGGUUGGAAAGUUUCGGCGGUUGGGGAUGGACUCGCGGCUUAUCAGCUUGUUGGUGGGGUAGUGGCUUACCAAGGCUUUGACGGGUAGCCGGCCUGAGAGGGUGACCGGCCACAUUGGGACUGAGAGACGGCCCAGACUCCUACGGGAGACAGCAGUGGGGAAUAUUGCACAAUGGGCGGAAGCCUGAUGCAGCGACGCCGCGUGCGGGAUGACGGCCUUCGGGGUGUAAACCGCUUUCGCCUGUGACGAAGCGUGAGUGACGGUAAUGGGUAAAGAAGCACCGGCUAACUACGUG